CCUAACGGGUGGCAGCAGUGGGGAAUAUUGGACAAUGGGCGAAAGCCUGAUCCAGCCAUGCCGCGUGUGUGAAGAAGGCCUUCGGGUUGUAAAGCACUUUCAGUGGGGAAGAAAGCCUUGGGGCUAAUACCCUCGAGGAAGGACAUCACCCACAGAAGAAGCACCGGCUAACUCCGUGCCAGCAGCCGCGGUAAUACGGAGGGUGCGAGCGUUAAUCGGAAUUACUGGGCGUAAAGCGCGCGUAGGCGGUCUGAUAAGCCGGUUGUGAAAGCCCCGGGCUCAACCUGGGAACGGCAUCCGGAACUGUCAGGCUAGAGUGCAGGAGAGGAAGGUAGAAUUCCCGGUGUAGCGGUGAAAUGCGUAGAGAUCGGGAGGAAUACCAGUGGCGAAGGCGGCCUUCUGGACUGACACUGACGCUGAGGUGCGAAAGCGUGGGUAGCAAACAGGAUUAGAUACCCCAGUAGUC
rnacentral:rRNA from 1 species